GUUGUUUCAGUGUGUUUGCUGAAGAUUUAACAGAAACACCAGGCUGAAGAUGUUUCUGCUAUUUCUGCUCCUCAUGAACGGAAGGGAACCAAAUCCUUGGAGGUUAAAAUCCAACACGGGUCGGAUCUCCUGAUGAUGUUCUCCACUCAUCACAGGGAACUAGAAGAAGAAACCUGAAUGUUCCCAGGAGCCAACAUCUGUUAUACUUUAUUAUCACUAAGACG